CGGGGCAGGGCCUAGGCCGCCUGAGGCGCCGGCUGCGGACCCGCCCAAGCCGGAAGCGGAAGCCGAAGCGGAAGCGGAAGCGGAAGCGGAGGGCCUGCUGCGGCGCCUGCGCAGAGCGCACCAGGAGGCGCCGCCCGGUAGGAGGCCGGGCGCUGAAGACGCGGCUGUGGGGCUGCCUAGUCUGCGGUCGUCGUAGCGCCCCAGCCACGAUGUGGAAACAACCUAAAUGCCAGUCAACAGAUGGAUGGACAAAGAAAAUGUUUAUAAAUACAGUGGAAUGUUAUCCAGCGGAAGAAGGAAGGAAAUGCUUCCUUGAAUAACAAACGGGGUAAACUCUGAGGACCUCCUGCCAAUUGAGAUAAUCUAGUCACAAAUGGACAGACACCGCAAGAUUCCACUUAUCUGAGAUUUCAUUUAUUUAUUUGCGAUCCUGAGAGAGCGUCCAUGUGCAGGAGUUGGAGGGAGGGGCAAAAGGAGAGGGAGAAGCCUACUCCUUGCUGAGCAGGAAGCUCUCCAUAUGGGGCUCAAUCCUAGGACCCUGAGAUCCUGACCCGAGACAAAGGCGCUUAACCAGAUGAGCCACCCAGGCACCACCAGUUUUGAAUAUCCUGAUUCGAAUGCCAUGUCUGUUACAUUUUCUCUCACUUUUUUGUUCUUGUUGAAUAUUUUUUAUUUUUAUUAGUUACAAACCAAAGGUGAUCUACUUUUCAUUUAAUUUGGUUGUAAAUAUUUAUAUCAACUUCUUUCUCACAUUUAGUUCUGGUAUUUGCUAUAGUAAGUAGUUGUAAGCUUGUGCAUGAAAGAGAAUCAUGAGUGAGUAGGAUCCUUCUGAAUUCUGAUUGUUUGAAUUUAUGUACCACCUUACCACCUGUUAGAUGCAUAAAUGCUCAGGAAUAAAAGUAGCAAUAUCUAAAUUUGCAUUGGUGUAUUUUCAUGUUCCAUAUUUUAUGUAGUACUUUAUUAAACCUUAACAUCUAACACUACUAUCACUAUACAACUAUAGCUGUUGCAGCAGCUAGCAUUAAAGGAACAUACUCUGUGUGCCAAACCCUGUGUACUUCACUUCUCAUUUAAUUCUCCUAAGGAGUUCUAGUCAAAUCAAACUAAUGGCGAGCACUCCUGAACACAUCAUGCACUUUGUUGUGUCAAUGGAUGUGCUCUUUCCUAUGCCUAAAUGUUUUCUUCUUCUGUAUGCAUCUGGUCAGCUCCUACUGCUCCUUUAAAUUAUUGUUCUUUGGCUAUCUCUUUGGGAAGUGUUCCAAGAUAUGGAUCUCACCUACAUCUUUCCCCUUCCUCUUUGUCAGGGACACUUUACUGUUUUUUUUUGUUUGUU